AGAAAACAGGCACAACCACCAUUAUCUGCCAAGAGCGCACCUGCGGGGCCUACACAGCGUUCUUCUUCUUCCAUAGCAUCAACAGGGCACACAAGUGAUAUUAUUUGUCGUCGUUGUAAGGGAGGAGGUCAUUAUGCGAGAGAAUGCAAAUCUCCGCGUGUGAUGAUUGCUACCGCGGAUGGUGGAUAUGAGUCCGCUAGUGACUAUGAUGAGGAGACUUUGGCUCUUAUUACACGUGAAGAACAUGGUGGAGAUGAUUCUGAUAAUGAGACGCAAUACAUGGCUCCUGAAGACGCUGACAGGGAGUUGUGA
rnacentral:rRNA from 1 species